UACGUAGGGUGCGAGCGUUAAUCGGAAUUACUGGGCGUAAAGCGUGCGCAGGCGGUUUGUUAAGACAGAUGUGAAAUCCCCGGGCUUAACCUGGAACUGCAUUUGUGACUGGCAAGCUAGAGUAUGGCAGAGGGGGUGAGAAGUUCCACGUGUAGCAGUGAAAUGCGUAGAGAUGUGGAGGAAUGACCGAUGGCGAAGGCA
rnacentral:rRNA from 1 species